UGCCCCGUGGCCCAGCUGGUUAAGGCGUGUGACUGUUACAGAAUAGCAAUCACAAGAUCGUGAGUUCGAACCUCAUCGGGGCAG